GACGAACGCUGGCGGCGUGCUUAACACAUGCAAGUCGAACGGAAAGGCCCUGCUUUUGUGGGGUGCUCGAGUGGCGAACGGGUGAGUAACACGUGAGUAACCUGCCCUUGACUUUGGGAUAACUUCAGGAAACUGGGGCUAAUACCGGAUAGGAGCUCCUGCUGCAUGGUGGGGGUUGGUAAGUUUCGGCGGUUGGGGAUGGACUCGCGGGUUAUCAGCUGGUUGGUGGGGUAGUGGCUUACCAAGGCUUUGACGGGUAGCCGGCCUGGGAGGGUGACCGGCCACAUUGGGACUGAGAUACGGCCCAGACUCCUACGGGACGCAGCAGUGGGGAAUAUGGCACAACGGGCGGAAGCCUGAUGCAGCGACGCCGCGUGCGGGAUGACGGCCUUCGGGUUGUGAACCGCUUUCGCCUGUGACGAAGCGGGAGUGACGGUAAUGGGUAAAGAAGCACCGGCUAACUACGUG
rnacentral:rRNA from 1 species